GUCCGCGGCCCCCACCCCUCCCGCCUGGCUCGGGCGCCAGGAGAAGCGGACAUUUUAGCCUCCUCUGCAAUCCGCUCUCUCGUUCGUGUCCUUCUCCCCCCUCUCGUCCGGUUGGAGUGCAGUGGUGCUGUGUCUGGAGUUUGUUCCUGCCGUUGGGUUUGUGGUCUUGCUGACUUCAAGAAUGAAGCCACGGACCUUCACGAGAAAUAUUACGUUGUAUGGAUGUACCACUGUUUGUUUAUCCAUUCUUCAGGUGAAGGACAUGUGGGUUGUGCCCAGCGCGGGCUGAAUAAAGUCCAUCGCCUUGGCUUAGUGCAUGUCACCAAAAAUUCUCCAGGAAUUUCAUAGUUUGGACCUUGGUGGCAUGGCUGGCCCUGGAUUAUCCAUGCAGGGAGGCCUGAUCCUGUGACAGCUGGCUGCAGCAGGGGGCUGCCCAUCUUCUGUGCUUUGUGGUACAUAUCUGUGUCACCAAAGUAGCGGCCUCGGUACAGCAAGCCUUUCAUCUGCUGCUUCUCCGUCCAGCAGUUGUUCCAGAGGUUGGCGAUAUAAUCAUCUUUCACAUUCGGUUUGACUGUUUGGAGGCUGGAGCCUGUGUACUCCUCGGAGAAAAUGCCUGCCACAUAGUAGAUGACACUCAGGUGGUCAGUGACUCGCCUGUGAUGUGGCCCACAAACAGUCUUGGGCUCAGACUGUAGGGUGGACUGGAGACCAUGAGCUGGCUGAGAGCUGACAUGAGGAUGAGGAUGGGUAUCAGCUGCACGAACACCCGCAAGCUGCCGUCACUCCGCUUCUCCCUGCAGCCCUGCCUUUGCUGCCAUCAUAAUGUGAAGAAGCCGAAGCAGCCUGUGAAGAGGCGCUAGUGGAAAGGAACUCAGGUGCCCCUGCCCUCAGUCCCAGCUGAACUCUCAGCUGACAGCCAUCACCAACUUGCCAGCCACAGGAGUGAGCCAACUUGAGAGUGGAUCUUUCAGUCCCAGUGGAGCCAUCUCAGCUGACACACCAUGGUAAAAAGAUGAACCAUCCUUGCUGAUCCUUGCCAGUGCUGCAGAUACAUAAGCAAAAUAAAUGUUUUUGUUGUUUUAAGCCACU
rnacentral:lncRNA from 10 species